AGAAUCCCACUGGGGGGUUGAAUCAGAGGUGUUCUUUCUCAACUCAGCAGUAGCUGAGAGGCAGCUACUGCCUGGUUCAGGCUUCUGUGGGAAUCAAGUCUAGGACGCCCUGUAUUGGUUUUUGUUUGUCUUGUUUUCUGUGGUAUUAUUGUGAAUGUCAGGCUGUGGUCCUGAAUGUUGUCGAUGCUGAAGGGGAGAUGGGGGAGGCUGAAGUGGUGGCCCUGGCCCUGGGACCAGCUUUAGGGUUGGCUUUCAGGGGCUGCUGAGCUAUGUUCUGCUCCUGGGAGUGUGACCAGCAGGUUGAGGUGGCGCAGGAGACCCUGGUGGAGGUGCUGGGCCCUUAGGAGCCUCUUUUGAGCUUGGUGUAGGCAGCCAUGGUUGGAGUGGCUGGCCAUGAGCACUCUGGUAUCUGGGGCUGAAUUCGGCGUUCUGGUGAGAGACCUGGAUCCUCACUGACCCUACUAGGCAAGAAUUAGUCAGGUUGAUCUGGGAGUCUAUCUCUCACCUUCUCUGACCUUCCCUGUCUUCUUUCGUCACCAUGGCUGCUUUGCAUACUUACCUAAUGAUGCUUCAUGUUCCCCUGCAUCCCACCUGCCUGCCUCCAGUCUUUGGCAUGCCGGGUGGUCACAGGUCCUUUCUGGUCUUCCAUGCUUUCCCCUAUGCCCCCAAGACUCAACAGAAAUUCUGGUACCAUCCCAUGUCGCUUGCAGUAAGCCAGAGUGCCUCUUGUUAGUGAGAGAAAGUGAUUUCACUUUGAGACAUCAGUGGCCCAGCAUAGCCAGCUGUGAGUGCUGUGCUCACUCCCCUGCCCCAUGUAUGUUUUCGGGUGGCCCUGCCCCCAUUCCUUUCCCCCUUGUGCUGCUGGCCAUGAAUCUGUUCCAAGCUCUGGUGAGGAAGGAAUGCGCCCUCUCAGGGCUUCUCCUGCCCAAUCAGCCCACUGGUAGAGCCCUGCUCUCUGGGAACUCACCUCCUGCCCAUCACGGAAGGCUGCAAGCACUGCUGGUGCAGAGCCCCAGGCGGCAGUCUCCAAGUUCCUUAUGCCAAGGGCAGAGCAGUCCUCACUGGAGAUUACUGGCACAUGGACUUGACUCCAAGGUACACCGUGCCCCUUAGAAAGGCAGCCCACGGGACAAUUGUCAGCAAUUGUUGCAAGUUCUCUUCAUCACACAGGAAGAAUGUCCUGGAAGCAGAUGGGAGGCCCUCUCAGCUGCUUUGGUGACAUAGACACUAGGUUCAUGGAAGCAGGCUGGCGUGAGGUUCCCUUCCAGGCAUCUGUUACAGGUUUCAGCUGCAAGUCUGUCUCCACAUGGGACCUGCUGCCACAGAUCCAUCUGAGACAGCGCCAUCUCCUGCGACCUACAGACAAAAAAGCUGCCUUCCUCCAAAAAUCUCAUCUGACUGAGGACUCCCAAGACAAGUGCUAAACCACAGAAGACAGACUUGGGACCUUCCAGCUAGAGAUGGACUCAUUUGCCAAAGCCAAAUGGCUGCUGAACUUUGGGGAAAGUUACAUGAUAGUGAGGAAAACAUAAUGUCUAUCUAGAUUAAUUAAUUGAUGUUCAAAAUGGAUGCUAUCGCCCUCAAUUUGUACUACCCAUGGAACAAAUAAUUGGUUGUACAAUCUCUUGCCUUCUCAACCCUCAACUCUCAACUCUUAACCCUUAACCCUUUUUACUACUCUGGCUUUGUUCUUACUUCUCCAGGCUAUACAUUUUUUUCUGAUACUUCCAUCCACUCUAAAUUUUCACCACUGACACAGUCACAUCAGUGACACCCACCCCUUUUUUUCUUAUAAAAACAGAGGGGGAGUUGUGGGGAAUUGGGGUAUGCACAGACAGGCUGGUCUCCAGUCGAGCUGAGGUCAGAACCCCGAAGGGUAAUAAUUCACCUACAUGACACGGUAGGCGUUCCCUCAUGCUCCUGGAACUCUGGCUCCUGCCUAAGUUGGUGUGGCCCACAGCCCCCACAAGAGAAGCAUGGCUAGAAGUCACAUAGGCAACGUUCCAAGCUUCUGACCUUCAGGCUAAACUCCUCUCCAGUUACCUAGCAACAGUAAAGACCAUAAAAGGGCUGUUCAGCACCACCUCACUCUCUUACUUCUCACUUUCUUACUUCUUACCCCUCACAAUCACCCCCUUUCUCCUCUCUCUUUUGCUACACCCACUCCAAAGAACUCUGCUUGACAAGCAAAAAGGCCUGAAGGCAGUCAUGAGGCAAACAGUUUCAAGGAAACUAUGCCUCCUAGAACCUUGGCAUUCCAAUAGCCUGUAUACACAAACCCUGUCCCCUUGUUAGUCUGGUGUAUGGAUACACAUGCUCUCUUUCAGUAUUGUUUUAUUAUAAGUGCCUUUAAGGAUUGAUUCUUGACAUAUAGCUAAGCCUCCACUAGUGUUCCAAUGGUUCCUAGAAAAUCCUUGAAGUCAAAGGUGAGCUUGAGGAGCAGUAAGAAUGUUACCUAUUCAGUAACAUUCGAAUUCACUUCUAGUAGAAACCCUGAAAAUAAUCAAGCAUUACAAAGAACAGAUCUAGAAAAGCUCAGGGCUAAUCUGCAUAGUGAUUACUUAGGACAAUAGCUGAGUUGCACCCAAACACAGGAAUACACAAUGUCCUAGCAAAUAGGUGGUUUGUCCAUGAAAGAUUUAGUGGAAGGGCAUUCCCCUGGUACAGGUUUCUUCACUAGGCCCAGUGGAAUAGCAUAAUCAGGAAUUUACUAAAGAACCCCUGAUGGUGGGUUUAACAAUAGACUAGCAUUGCAUCAGAGCAUUCACCUGGCACCAUUUUAAGUGGUAAAUGUGGCCUGGUUCCCUCCAUCUUUUGAUGUAUGCAUUCCUUUUGUUUUGUGUCACUGUAACUUGGCAGAUGUGUUCUCCUGGUUGUUUGUUUGUUUGUUUGUUUGUUUGUUUGUUUUUCUUCUGUAUAAAAAAGCCUGGUGUUCGUUUGGACAUUACAUUCAGACCCAACACAUUCUCUCCUGUCUGCCUCUGUCUGUACCCCAUUCUCACCGACUCUAUGCCCAUCUGUCCAAGACACUGAUUCCCAUGGAUUGAGGGGGGCUGACUGAGCCCGGUCCAUGACACUCUUUGUCUUCUCUCCUCUCUCCUCUCUCUUUGUCCUCUCCUCCCUCCCUCUUACUCUCUUUCUCUCUAACCUUCCCCCUCUCUCUUCUACCUUCUCUCUUUCUCCCUGCCUUUCUAUAAUAAAGCUCUAAAACC